CCUGUGAUAUCUUUGUUUCCAACAUGAUUUGGCGUUGCUUUAUAUGCUACAUAUUUUUGGCAUUGACUCUGAAACAACUUUUGAGUCACAUUAAUACUAUGCACAGUCGCAACCCUGACUUUCGCGUGGUGUGCGGGAUUGAUGGCUGUCCAAGUGAGUACAGGGUGUAUAACUCCUUCUACUAUCACGUGAAGCGUACACAUGCACAGCAUCUUCUCCAAGUUGAAGCGGCGGAGGAAGAAAGACCGACUUGCCACGGUUUACCGGGAGCAGGUGAAAGGACAGCCACAAACGACCAAACCAAUGCAAGCCCUGUGGCUGAAGCGGAGAGCUCAAGCAUCUUAACUCCAGUGAGUGGAUUUGAAGAAGAUGGAGAUGGUCACAUGAAUGUUGACCUUUCUAAACAUGCAACUGCAUUUCUUCUUCAAGCCAGAGAAACCCAUCGACUGACACAGAGAGCUGUUAACCAAAUGGUAACAUCAACCCUAAAUACAGAUCAAGACUUGCUGCCAUUCGUCUGCUUGCCAUGGUAAAAUCAAAAGAUCUUUCCCAUUGUGGUAUUGAUGAGAUGUUUGAGAGGAUUAACUGUGACAUAACUGAGCUGUGUGAUGGUGUCCAGGUUGUCACUGCAAAAGGUGAGAGGACAAUUUAUGGUGCACUUAUGUCUGUGUGCGGAGACACUCUAGCUCAGCAUGAAGUGGCUGGAUUUAAGAUAGGAGUGGGGUUUGCCUACAGUAAAUGCAGGCACUGCGAAUGCAACUUUGAAGACAUGCAGAAGCAAUUUAAUGAAGAUUUGUUUGUUAAAAGGACAAUGGCAAGUCAUAACAGGCAAUGUAAUGACAUUGAAAAGGCAAAUACUGACUUUCUGAAAGACAAUCUAAAAAUGACAUAUGGCAUAAACAGGAGAAGCAAAUUAACAGAAUCUCCUCACUUUGACAUAAUCAGUCAAACUCCACAAGACAUCAUGCAUGUCAUUCUUGAAGGUGUUGCCCCGUAUGAAAUCAAAUGUGUUUUAAAGCAUCUUGUGCUGUCAGGUCAUAUGGACUUGGAUGCAUUCAACAGUGCAAUUAUUUGUUUCCCUUAUUCUCCUGUGGAUGCAAGGGAUAAGUCUUGCCCCAUAUCUGUCAAUACACUGUCAUCAAAUGACAAUAAAUUGAAACAGUAAGCUGGGCAAAUACUGGUUUUGUUAAAGAUCCUGCCAUUUCUCAUUGACAGAAUUGGAGAAAAUGAUUAAACACAAAUGCUACUCAAGUUGUUAAAGAUUGUCAAAAUUCUGUUUUCACCUAUUAUUGCUCUCUCAACUCUUUCAAGGCUGAAGCUUUUAAUAGAGCAACAUUUGAAACAUUUCAAACAACUGUUUUCAGAUGCAAAUAUUAUACCUAAACAGCAUUACUUGCUGCAUCUUCCCUCUCAGAUUAAGGCACUUGGGCCUACAGUGAGGCAUAUGUGUAUGCGUUUUGAGUCAAAGCAUUGCUUUUUUAAGCAGUGGGCUUUGAAAAGUAGUUUUAAAAAUAUCUGUAAGUCUCUUGUUAAGCACAACCAACUUUAUGAAUGUAGUCAGAAUGUGCAUGAGAAACAUCCAAUUUGUUCAAGUGAAGUUGACAUGGGCCCAGCAUCUGAGGUGAAAAAUGUUCACUAUGUCGAAGAAAAGAUCAAAGACUUCUUAGGAAUAGAGCACGUUGAACACAUAGUUUCGGUACAGUGGAUUAUGCAACAUGGAAAUAAGUAUACAUGUGGAAAAUCUUUGGUUAUUUCUAAUGUCAUCAAUGAUAAUCCAGAGUUUGCACUUGUGAAAAACAUUUAUAUUUUAAAUGCGUCAGUGUAUUGUUUUGAAUGCCAACCACUCUCUACAGUUGGGUGGAAUGAUCAUUAUUUAGCUUACGAGGUAGAAGUUCCCGACCUAACUCAAGCAAAUAUUUUCAUGGAUGCUGAAAAGCUUGUUGAUUAUACACCAUACUACUAUGUAAACUUCAAUAAUAGCAAGUACAUUCCACUGAAGUAUGAUCUCACAGACAUCAUCAAACAUCAUUCUUGAGUCUGUAUUGAGUGUACAGUUGGGCUGAUUUUUUUUAAGCACUGACAAACACUGUAAUUGAUGACAGCAUUUAUUUGUACUUAUUACUUGUUUAAUAAUGUGGUACAGUAUGCCUGUCUUUUUUUUACAUAUCUAAUGGACAUGGUUUGCUGGAAAUGUAAUAGCCACACUGUACUGUGAGUUGCAAGCCCUGCAUGUUUUCAAUAAAGCAAAUUUGUAGUCUCAA